GAUGAACGCUGGCGGCGUGCCUAAUACAUGCAAGUCGAACGCGCAGCGAAAGGUGCUUGCACCUUUCAAGCGAGUGGCGAACGGGUGAGUAACACGUGGAUAACCUGCCUCAAGGCUGGGGAUAACAUUUGGAAACAGAUGCUAAUACCGAAUAAAACUUAGUAUCGCAUGAUACAAAGUUAAAAGGCGCUACGGCGUCACCUAGAGAUGGAACCGCGGUGCAUUAGUUAGUUGGUGGGGUAAAGGCUUACCAAGACGAUGAUGCAUAGCCGAGUUGAGAGACUGAUCGGCCACAUUGGGACUGAGACACGGCCCAAACUCCUACGGGAGGCUGCAGUAGGGAAUCUUCCACAAUGGGCGCAAGCCUGAUGGAGCAACGCCGCGUGUGUGAUGAAGGCUUUCGGGUCGUAAAGCACUGUUGUAUGGGAAGAAAUGCUAAAAUAGGGAAUGAUCUUAGUUUGACGGUACCAUACCAGAAAGGGACGGCUAAAUACGUGCCAGCAGCCGCGGUAA
rnacentral:rRNA from 1 species